rnacentral:rRNA from 1 species
UACGGAGGGUGCAAGCGUUAUCCGGAUUCACUGGGUUUAAAGGGUGCGUAGGCGGGUUGGUAAGUCCGUGGUGAAAUCCCCAAGCUUAACUUGGGAACUGCCGUGGAUACUAUCAAUCCUGAAUAUCGUGGAGGUAAGCGGAAUAUGUCAUGUAGCGGGGAAAUGCUUAGAUAUGACAUAGAACACCAAUUGCGUAGGCAGCUUACUACACGAUCAUUGACGCUGAGGCACGAAAGCGUGGGGAGCAAACAGG